rnacentral:rRNA from 1 species
UCUUCGGAGGUCAGCGGCGGACGGGUGAGUAACACGUGGGCAACCUGCCUGUAAGACUGGGAUAACUCCGGGAAACCGGAGCUAAUACCGGAUAGUAUCUUGAACCGCAUGGUUCAAGUUGGAAAGACGGUUUCGGCUGUCACUUACAGAUGGGCCCGCGGCGCAUUAGCUAGUUGGUGAGGUAAUGGCUCACCAAGGCAACGAUGCGUAGCCGACCUGAGAGGGUGAUCGGCCACACUGGGACUGAGACACGGCCCAGACUCCUACGGGAGGCAGCAGUAGGGAAUCUUCCGCAAUGGACGAAAGUCUGACGGAGCAACGCCGCGUGAGUGAUGAAGGUUUUCGGAUCGUAAAACUCUGUUGUUAGGGAAGAACAAGUGCGAGAGUAACUGCUCGCACCUUGACGGUACCUAACCAGAAAGCCACGGCUAACUACGUGCCAGCAGCCGCGGUAAUACGUAGGUGGCAAGCGUUGUCCGGAAUUAUUGGGCGUAAAGCGCGCGCAGGCGGUUUCUUAAGUCUGAUGUGAAAGCCCCCGGCUCAACCGGGGAGGGUCAUUGGAAACUGGGAAACUUGAGUGCAGAAGAGGAGAGUGGAAUUCCACGUGUAGCGGUGAAAUGCGUAGAGAUGUGGAGGAACACCAGUGGCGAAGGCGACUCUCUGGUCUGUAACUGACGCUGAGGCGCGAAAGCGUGGGGAGCGAACAGGAUUAGAUACCCUGGUAGUCCACGCCGUAAACGAUGAGUGCUA